rnacentral:rRNA from 1 species
AUGCAGGGCGAGCCUGAUCCGCCAUGCCGCGUGUGUGAAGAAGGUCUUCGGAUUGUAAAGCACUUUAAGUUGGGAGGAAGGGCCAUUACCUAAUACGUGAUGGUUUUGACGUUACCGACAGAAUAAGCACCGGCUAACUCUGUGCCAGCAGCCGCGGUAAUAC